rnacentral:rRNA from 1 species
CGGGGAGCAUAUCAAUAAGCGGAGGAUCUUGGUCAUUNAGAGGAAGNAAGCGGAGGNGCUUGUUNGUAGCUGGUGGUCUAGGGAGCNUGUGCGCACCUUGUCAUCUUUAUAUCUCCACCUGUGCACUUUUUGUAGACCUUUCAGGUCUAUGUUGCUUCAUUUACCCCAAUGUAUGUUAAUAGAAUGUUGUGCCUAUAUAAUAUAUACAACUUUCAGCAACGGAUCUCUUGGCUCUCGCAUCGAUGAAGAACGCAGCGAAAUGCGAUAAGUAAUGUGAAUUGCAGAAUUCAGUGAAUCAUCGAAUCUUUGAACGCACCUUGCGCUCCUUGGUAUUCCGAGGAGCAUGCCUGUUUGAGUGUCAUUAAUAUAUCAACCUUCUCUUUUUUGAGUUGUUUGGAUGUGGGGGUUUGCUGGCCUCUUAAAUGAUUCAGCUCCCCUGAAAUGCAUUAGCAGAACAACCUGUUCAUUGGCGUGAUAAUUAUCUAUGCUAUUGAAUGUGAGGGCAGUUCAGCUUUCUAACCGUCCUCGGACAAUUCAUCAUUAAUGUGACCUCAAAUCAGGUAGGACUACCCGCUGAACUUAAGCAUAUCAAUAAGCG